rnacentral:misc_RNA from 1 species
CCGUCCACGUGCGGCCGACUACCGACGCCGUGUCCCCUCAUUCCUGUGGCUUAUGUUACUAUUGGCUUUCAAGUGCUUGCGUGCAGGUACCCGACCUACGGGAAGUGGUGCUUCUUACACGUUUCGCUCGCGGCGGACGCCCUCGGGUGCCCUGCUGUGGCCAAUUGGCGCUUGCGGCGUUUCCUCGUGGUGCUGGCAUGUUUACGUGCCUGGUGCUAUCAAGGCAGCCUCGCUCGUGCUAUUGGUUUUGGAUGUUGCUCACGAUAAAGGCUCAUGGCCCAUUUGGUUGCCUAGAUCCGACCCUCAAUAAGUUCUCCGAAUCUGAAAGUAUAGUGGAACGUGUGUUGCCUCUACCGAACCACAUUUAGUGGUAGGAUAUGGAACACUCUGGACCCUUGCUAGUAGGAGUACGAGAGCUUGGCCCGCUCAAUUGCGACAACUGGCCUGGCUGCUGUCCGCCUGUAUGGGCGGGCAACUACCGGCGCUGGAUGUCAAAGAGGACGUGCUACCUGGUUGAUCCUGCCAGUAGUC